UACGUAGGGACCGAGCGUUGUCCGGAAUCAUUGGGCGUAAAGAGCGUGUAGGCGGCCACUUAAGUCCUGCGUGAAAUCUUGCGGCUCAACCGCAAGCGGUCGUGGGAAACUGGGUGGCUAGAGUGCGGGAGAGGAGAGUGGAAUUCCUGGUGUAGCGGUGGAAUGCGCAGAUAUCAGGAGGAACACCAAUGGCGAAGGCAGAUCUCUGGGCCGUAACUGACGCUGAGGUGCGAAAGCGUGGGGAGCAAACAGG
rnacentral:rRNA from 1 species